rnacentral:rRNA from 1 species
UACGUAGGGGGCUAGCGUUGUCCGGAAUCAUUGGGCGUAAAGCGCGCGUAGGCGGCCCAGUAAGUCCGUUGUAAAAGUCAAAGGCUCAACCUUUGAAAGCCGAUGGAUACUGCUGGGCUAGAGUCCGGAAGAGGCGAGUGGAAUUCCUGGUGUAGCGGUGGAAUGCGCAGAUAGUCAGGAGGAACACCGAUAGCGAAGGCAGCUCGCUGGGACGG